rnacentral:rRNA from 1 species
AACGAACGCUGGCGGCAUGCCUAACACAUGCAAGUCGAACGAGACCUUCCGGUCUAGUGGCGCACGGGUGCGUAACGCGUGGUAACCUGCCCUUAGGUUCGGAAUAACUCCCCGUAAGGGGUGCUAAUACCGGAUAAUGUCUUCGGACCAAAGAUUUAUCGCCUUUGGAUGGGCCCGCGUUGGAUUGGCUAGUUGGUAGGGUACAAGCCUACCAAGGCGACGAUCCAUAGCUGGUCUGAUAGGAUGAUCAGCCACACUGGGACUGAGACACGGCCCAGACUCCUACGGGAGGCAGCAGUAGAGAGUAUUAGACAAUGAGCGAAAACCUAGUACAGCAAUGCCGCGUGAGUGAUGAAGGCCUUAGGAUUGUAAAGCUCUUUUACCCGAGAUGAUAAUGACAGUACCGGGAGAAUAAGCUCCGGCUAACUCCGUG